rnacentral:rRNA from 1 species
AUACGGAGGGUGCAAGCGUUAUUCGGAAUCACUGAGCGUAAAGGGUGCGUAGGCGGUUUGAUAAGUCUGAUGUGAAAUCCUAUGGCUCAACCAUAGAACUGCAUUGGAAACUGUCAGACUAGAAUACUGAAGGGGCAGAUGGAAUUAGUGGUGUAGGGGUAAAAUCCGUAGAUAUCACUAGGAAUACCGAAAGCGAAAGCGAUCUGCUGGGAAGUUAUUGACGCUGAGGCACGAAAGCGUGGGGAGCAAACGGGAUUAGAUACCCUAGUAGUCC